rnacentral:lncRNA from 1 species
UGUCGCUAUGAUGGUCUAUGGCGGCGUGAUGCUGUCACUCUGGUCGGUGUGAUGCCGAUGACGGUGGUGCGAUGCCAUCAUCAUCAUGGAGAGUUGGUGCGAAGCCAAUGAUAGUUGCACCGUGAUGCUGCGGCAAGACGGCGUGGCGACCGCUGCUGCGAUGGCAUGGUCAACGCCAUGACGGUGUCGUCGAGUUCGGUGUUGUGACGGUGUCGUCGACGACAAGGUGCGCAUGAUCGGCGUUGUGACAGCGUCGAUGACGAUAUGAAGUGGAGAUCGGCGCUGCCAAGGCGUCAUUCAUGGGAAUUUGGUGAGCCACCAUGUCAAGAUUAGAAGAGAAAAUGUUAAAAAUAAUCUUGUCAUGUGCCUUAUGCACGUGCAUGUGUGCACAUCAUGCAGUUUAUAGUCUAGGAUAUAAUAUGUCUAGAGAAGCUUCAGCUGUGGGCGCGAAGGAGACGAGAUUCCGGGUUGCCAAUGAGAUGCUGAUGGUGUCGUGUGAUGCGGCGAUGUCGUGAGAAGCUACAAGGCGCGACGGAGGUUGGAGCGUGACGGGCUACACGAACAUGAUGAACCGGUGAGUCAUUCACAUGGGUUUGAAGCAACCAUGCAUGCGUGAGGUAGUUGGCAUGUUGCCGAGUGAUUCGGUCGUGUUCAUUAGUACA